rnacentral:tRNA from 1 species
UGCGGGGUCGUCUAAUGGUAGGACGCUCGGCUCUGGACCGAGUAGUCUAGGUUCGAAUCCUAGCCCCGCAGCCU